AUGCAGGUUAACAAGAUAGGGCCGGUGCACACAUGUGUUUCAAGUAGCAGACUAAAUUCAGCAAUGGCCUCACAUGAUUGGGUUCGAGAAAGGUCUAAGAAAAUUUUGAGGAAAACUCCAAACAUUGGUUGCAAGGAUUUACAAGAGAAGUUGGAGGAAGACUCGAAUGUAACCACUGGCUAUAACACUGUAUGGAAGGGGAGAGAAAGAGCCAAGGAUGAGAUCUAUGGGUCUUGGGGUAGUAGUUUACGAUACCUAUUCAAUUUUAAAGCAAAGAUGGAACUGAGAUCUCCCGAAAACAUUGUUGAGGUCGAUACUAAACUAACGGAUGGUAAGGUUUACUUCCAUAGAUUCUUUAUGGCACUUAAGCCUUGUGUAGAUGGAUUCCAUGCAGGAUGUAGGCCUUAUCUUAGCAUAGACUCAACUGCAUUAAAUGGAAAGUGGAAUGGUCAUUUAGCUGCAUGUACCGCUUUAGAUGGUCAUAAUUGGAUGUUUCCUCUUGCAUUUGGUUUUAUUGAGGUUGAAGAUGAAGAUAAUUGGACAUGGUUCAUGACACACUUGCAUAGAGCAUUAGGGCCAAUUUCAAAGCUUGCUAUAUGUACCGAUGCAUGCAAAGGCUUAGAAAAUGCAGUUAAGAAAGUUUUCCCUCAGGCAGAACAAAGGGAGUGUUUCAGGCAUUUGAUGGAGAAUUUUUCA
rnacentral:rRNA from 1 species